rnacentral:rRNA from 1 species
CCUACGGGAGGCAGCAGUGAGGAAUAUUGGUCAAUGGACGCAAGUCUGAACCAGCCAAGUAGCGUGAAGGAUGACUGCCCUCUGGGUUGUAAACUUCUUUUAUAUGGGAAUAAAAGGUUGCACGUGUGGGAUUUUUUAUGUAUCAUAUGAAUAAGAAUCCGCUAACUCCGUGCCAGCAGCAGCGGUAUUACGGAGGAUCCGAGCGUUAUCCGGAUUUAUUGGGUUUAAAGGGAGCGUAGGUGGAUUGUUAAGUCAGUUGUGAAAGUCUGCGGCUCAACCGUAAAAUUGCAGUUGAAACUGGAAGUCUUGAGUACAGUCGAGGUGGGCGGAAUUCGUGGUGUAGCGGUGAAAGGCUUAGAUAUCAUGAAGAACUCCGAUCGCGAAGGCAGGUCACUGGACUGCAACUGACACUGAGGCUCGAAAGUGCGGGUAUCAAACAGGAUUAGAUACCCGGGUAGUC